rnacentral:rRNA from 1 species
GUAGUUUGAUCAUGGCUCAGGACGAACGCUGGCGGCACGCCUAACACAUGCAAGUCGAACGAGCGAGGGAGAGCUUGCUUUCUCGAGCGAGUGGCGAACGGGUGAGUAACGCGUGAGGAACCUGCCUCAAAGAGGGGACGAACAGUUGGAAACGACUGCUAAUACCGCAUAAGCCCACGGUGCCGCAUGGCACAGAGGGAAAA